AACCUAGCACACCUGCGGUGUGUACCUGCGGAAGGAUCAUUACUGAAGGGAAGACGAGGCUUUUGUCCUUGUAACCAACCACCCUUGCUUUUUGUUGCUUUGUUUGUUUCCUCGGCAGCAUUGCCUGCCAACGAGGACCCUUACCAAACUAUAGAAAUCUAGUACUAUUCAGUCGUUAACGAACCUUACAACUUUCAACAACGGAUCU
rnacentral:misc_RNA from 1 species